rnacentral:rRNA from 1 species
UCGAGGAUCUUCCGCAAUGGGCGAAAGCCUGACGGAGCGACACCGCGUGCAGGAUGAAGGCCUUCGGGUUGUAAACUGCUGUCACGCACUAGGAAUCCCCUGCGGUGAAUAGCCGCAGGGUUGACUAAAGCGAGAGGAAGCACCGGCUAACUCUGUGCCAGCAGCCGCGGUAAGACAGAGGGUGCAAACGUUGUUCGGAAUCACUGGGCAUAAAGCGCACGUAGGCCGUCCACUAAGUCGAAUGUGAAAUACCCCGGCUCAACCGGGGAACUGCAUCCGAUACUGGUGGACUCGAGGAUGGUUGGGGUGAGUGGAACUCCAGGUGGAGCGGUGAAAUGCGUAGAUAUCUGGAGGAACACCGGUGGCGAAAGCGGCUCACUGGACCAUCUCUGACGCUGAGGUGCGAAAGCUAGGGGAGCAAACGGGAUUAGAUACCCGAGUAGUCCCUGAGCGGGCUGGCAAGGCGCAU